GUUUUGCGUGCUGGCCAGUGUAUUGGGCGAGAAAUCACCUGGUUUAUGCUCCUCCCUGUUCUGCUACUUGGACGGAAUUUGGGAAGCGUACCGCACCUAUGGCGGAUUGGUAUGGUGGCGUUAUGAUGAGCAGUUUCAGCAGCAGCUUGCAGCCAACCCGAGUAUGAGGUGGGACUAAAUGGACCUACCUCUCUGGAUGAAACUAAUGAUGGCGCAGAAAGCCCAGC